rnacentral:rRNA from 1 species
UACGGAGGUCCCGAGCGUUGUUCGGAAUUACUGGGCGUAAAGGGAGCGCAGGCGGACGGGUCAGUCUGAAGUGGAAAUCCGGGGCUCAACCUCGGACUUGCUUCGGAUACUGCCUGUCUUGAGUUCGUGAGAGGAAGAUGGAAUUCAGGGUGUAGCGGUGAAAUGCUCAGAUAUCCUGAGGAACACCAGUGGCGAAAGCGGUCUUCUGGCACGAAACUGACGCUGAGGCUCGAAAGCGUGGGUAGCAAACAGG